GGAUGUGAGGGUGCUUUGGCUGUGACGUAUGUCACCCCAUUGAUCGCCAGGGGUGAUUUGACUGAUCUGGCUGGCUAGGCGCGUGUCCCCUUCCUCCCGCACCGCUCCGUGUGCCUCCCUCCCGAAGCGGAGGACGACCAUCCCCGAUACAGGAGGACCGUUCUUGGGUCAAGGGUGUACGAGUAGCUGCGCUCCCCUGCUAGAACCUCCAGACAAGCUCUCAGGAUGCAGUUGUUUGUUAAAUUUUGUAUGUAAAUGAUAGAAUAUUUGCGCAUUUAUGUUGGACAUGCAGAAGGACAU
ensembl:misc_RNA 7SK 7SK RNA